GCCUUACUCGGGAGUAAGCUUGGUGGUAGUCGGUGGCUUUGCUUCGAAGCAACCGUGCAACUCUUCCCAGGGGUAAAUCAAAACCCUAGGAGAGUGCAGCUUGCUCAGAAGCAAGCCCCAUUGCCAGCAACUGAGCUUAC